GACAGUUUGGAUUAAGGUUGUUAAGGAUUCCAUUUACAAAACAAAACUUUCAAAAUGCUAGCAACCUAAUCCAUCCCCCCAAAUCAGCCCCUUUCUCUCUGAACCUUUUUCCUUUCUUUCCUGACAUCUUGUUACUCUGUCCUCUCCUAUUCUUCUCCCAUCACAUCUACUUCUUCCUUGCCUUUGCCCUUUGUUACUAUGAACGAACAUACUCUUUGAAAGGCCAGCCUGCAUUGUUUAUGUACAAAAACAUAACUUUUACCAGUUUUGUUGAGAGCCAGAUGAAGGAGAAGCAACUGUACAAACCAGAAGCAGUCCAGAAAAUGAAACUGGGAAAAUGUGGUCCACAUAACAUGAAUUAUUUCAUCUGUGUCUCUUCUCUACCCCCCUACCCCCACAGCUCAUCUGCUUGGCUGGCCUCCAGCAGAGUGUGGUAGCAGCAGGCAGGAGCCUGGCAGUGUGGGAGGAGACCUGACAGGAAACAGGGAAGAAUUUCCAGAGCAAUGGACCAUGAAUACAGCUCCUGUAUUCCACACAAGUGGUUAACGCCUGGCCCCCCAGGAGCACACUGCAGAAGCUGCCUGUUGUGGACUUACGGCUUUGCUUGGAGGGAGAGAGGACGGCAGACGCUGAUCUGCAUUGCUGCAGCUUUGGUUCACUUAGUCUGACCUUUUUCUCCUCCCCUGCUUUCUCUGCUUUUCUUAUAUUGUCCAAAGUACUCAGCAAACUGAGCGAUUUAUUCUCUAGCUGG
rnacentral:lncRNA from 1 species